AGCUCUUCAGCAUCCUCCCCGGGUUCGGGUUCAAAUUCCUCAGCGAGCUGCCACCAAAAGGCAUUUCCAGAGAGGAUGAGGCAGAAGGAGGACGGGAACCUAUUGCGGAAAUCCUCUCUGCUGCAGACGUCGACAGAGGAAGGCAAAAUCUACUACGAACCAGACGCCACCAAUGAUUUUGAUGAUGAAGAGCCCGAUGACGACUUGGAUGUGUGAAGGAGAAACAGGGGACCUGAUUUUUUCCCCAGAUCUGGAACUGGAAUCCUUUUACGUCUUCCUGGAGAGCUGCUUUCCUCUGCAACAUGGGAAUGAUGCCAGACAGAAUCAGUCUGGGCGCUGGGAAUGGACUGGCAGGGCAAAUUGGAACCCGGGGCCAUCCAAAGGGAGAGAAGAACAAUCCAGAUUUGCUGGUUCCUCUGGGAAAAAGGACAGGAAUAAGAAAGUGACCUGCAGGAAAUUGGUUUGGAUCCCUUUGCUGAUGGUGGAAAGAGAUUUGGUUUAACCGUCUUUUUGAGGAAGGAGAGAUUCCUAGCCAGGCAGCCAAUAAACUACCUGAGUGC